CAUUCCUUUGUAUGUUUUCGCGUAUACGCUAAUCAUACGCGGGGACAAACUUAUUUUAUCGAUAUAUUAUUCGAAAAACAAACGAACGUAGACGCGAAUGAUGCGAUUUUCAAUAUAGGCUUUACACAAUGGUGUCAAAUCGAUUAAUUUUCGUAGCUUCGAGACGACAUCAUUUUGAAUCGCUGGUAACGUUGGUAAGACGAGAAUUACGAAGAGGGAUGAUGAUAACCAUGGGCCCUAGAUAUUAAUACGUACCAUCGUGUUCGUACUCUUUGUCGAGCAGCGACGUGUAAGAUCGACUCUACCAGAGCUAUACCCUCGACCACACCGGUGAUACUUUGUCCCCGUUGCAAGGUGAAAUGCUAACUAAAGGGGAUGUUUUAAUGGCAGAAGAUAAUAAUAAUAUACCUCAGUUACAAUGGCUAUUCCUAGGUACCCAUCAAGAACCCUCGUAAAAUCCAGAUAAUAUUUCGACGUAAUAUCUAUAGCAUAGUAAAAAAUUCAUAUUAGGGGAAUCCAUGUAAGAUCCAUGUAAAAAUCAGCGUGGCAUUCAACGUGUUAACUGGCCGAUGUAUUUAGGUCACGUAUUGGAUUCACGAUAUCUCUCUGUUUAUUCUGUUAUAAUAUAGAUUCUUGUCCAUCGAAGAGAAACUUAUUAUCAUUGUCUAACUUUUUAUAUCCACUUUAAAUAACAAUCGAUAUAUCAUACAAUUCUUGAAAAUAUCAAAUACGACCGUGCUUUUGGUUUCUUAUAACAAAGGCUGCACAAUUCUUCGUAAAAGCUUGUAUAUUCGAUUUGUCGAGAACAAAUAAAGCGAAUGCUUCGUAAACUUUUCUUAAAAACAUUGUGCAUCGACAUUGU
rnacentral:lncRNA from 1 species